rnacentral:rRNA from 1 species
ACGCACGCUGGCGGCGUGCUUAACCCAUGCAAGUCGAACGGUGAAGCGCCUUCCUUUUUGGUGGGUGUGGAUGAGUGGCGAACGGGUGAGUAACACGUGAGUAACCUGCCCCCUUCUUCUGGAUAACCGCAUGAAAGUGUGGCUAAUACGGGAUAUUCUGGGUCUGUCGCAUGAUGGGUCUGGGAAAGAUAUUGUUUCGGUGGGGGAUGGGCUCGCGGCCUAUCAGCUUGUUGGUGGGGUGAUGGCCUACCAAGGCGGUGACGGGUAGCCGGCCUGAGAGGGUGGACGGUCACACUGGGACUGAGACACGGCCCAGACUCCUACGGGAGGCAGCAGUGGGGAAUAUUGCACAAUGGGCGCAAGCCUGAUGCAGCGACGCCGCGUGAGGGAUGGAGGCCUUCGGGUUGUGAACCUCUUUCGCCAGUGAAGCAGGCCUGCCUCGUUUGUGGGUGGGUUGACGGUAGCUGGAUAAGAAGCGCCGGCUAACUACGUG